GGAGGGAUCAUUACACAACGAAAAUAUGAAGGCUUUGGCUUCGCGGCCGGCUGAAAUAUUUUUUUCACCCAUGUCUUUUGCGCACUUGUUGUUUCCUGGGCGGGUUCGCCCGCCACCAGGACCAAACCAUAAACCUUUUUUUUAAUGCAGUUGCAAUCAGCGUCAGUAAAAAACAAUGUAAUUAUUACAACUUUCAACAACGGAUCUCUUGGUUCUGGCAUCGAUGAAGAACGCAGCGAAAUGCGAUACGUAGUGUGAAUUGCAGAAUUCAGUGAAUCAUCGAAUCUUUGAACGCACAUUGCGCCCUUUGGUAUUCCAAAGGGCAUGCCUGUUCGAGCGUCAUUUGUACCUUCAAGCUUUGCUUGGUGUUGGGCGUUUUUUGUCUCCCUCUUGCUGGGAGACUCGCCUUAAAACGAUUGGCAGCCGGCCUACUGGUUUCGGAGCGCAGCACAUAUUUUGCACUCUGUGUCAGGAGAAAAGGACGGUAAUCCAUCAAGACUCUACAAAUUUUAACUUUUGACCUCGGAUCAGGUAGGGAUACCCGCUGAACUUAAGCA
rnacentral:rRNA from 1 species